CAAUAGCGUAUAUUAAAGUUGUUGCAGUUAAAAAGCUCGUAGUUGGACCUUGGACCUGGACAGGCGGUCCGCCUCACGGCGUGUACUGUCCUGCUGGGUCUUUCCUCUUGGUGAUCUGUUGUUUCGGCAGCAGGGAACCAGGACUUUUACUUUGAAAAAAUUAGAGUGUUCAAAGCAGGCUCGACGCCGGAAUAUAUUAGCAUGGAAUAAUAAAAUAGGACGUGCGGUUCUAUUUUGUUGGUUUUUGGAAUCGCCGUAAUGAUUAAUAGGGACAGUCGGGGGCAUUAGUACUCACAUGCUAGAGGUGAAAUUCUUGGAUUUUGUGAAGACUAACUUCUGCGAAAGCAUUUGCCAAGGAUGUUUUCAUUAA
rnacentral:rRNA from 1 species